rnacentral:rRNA from 1 species
UACGUAGGGUGCGAGCGUUAAUCGGAAUUACUGGGCGUAAAGCGUGCGCAGGCGGUUAGAUAAGUUUGAUGUGAAAUCCCCGGGCUCAACCUGGGAACUGCAUUGAAGACUGUCUGACUAGAGUACGGCAGAGGGGGGUAGAAUUCCACGUGUAGCGGUGAAAUGCGUAGAGAUGUGGCGGAAUACCGAUGGCGAAUGCAGUCCCCUGGGUCGAUACUGACGCUCAUGCACGAAAGCGUGGGGAGCAAACAGG